CACGUAGGGGGCGAGCGUUGUCCGGAUUUAUUGGGCGUAAAGAGCUCGUAGGCGGCUCGGUAAGUCGGGUGUGAAACCUCCAGGCUCAACCUGGAGACGCCACCUGAUACUGCUGUGGCUAGAGUCCGGUAGGGGAGUGUGGAACUCCUGGUGUAGCGGUGAAAUGCGCAGAUAUCAGGAAGAACACCAGCGGCGAAGGCGGCACUCUGGGCCGGAACUGACGCUGAGGAGCGAAAGCGUGGGGAGCGAACAGG
rnacentral:rRNA from 1 species